UUUAAAAAAAAAGGGAAAUAUUUCAAAGGGGGAAAAUAAACUUUUCUAAAAAAAAAUUUAAUGUGGUUAUCUGCAAUUUCAUGCAUAGUCUUCUUUCUAAUUAUUUUGGCUGCAUAUGAGUUCUUGAUUAUGAAAUUAUUCCUAGUUAGACUACCUUCCAUGCUUUCAAAGGAUGCGUCUUCAACUAUUUAUCUACGUUAGAUCUAUAUUUUCUCUCAUUUAAUGAGUGCACAAUGUUCCCUUUCCUCAAAAUCUUGUAUAAUAUAUAAUUGGCCUCUAUAUUUUCACUCAUCUUAACGAGUGCAUUAUACUCAAUUUGUGUUCUCCAUAUCACACUUGUUAUUAUUUGUAUAAAUUUUUAUAUCUGUUUUGUUUUGCAUGUAACCUAAAGUUUGUUUAUGGCAAUCAGGAUCAAUUCUCUAAUUUGUAUGAUGUGAAUGUGAAUCUAGUAUCUUGUGCAACAUGCUUUAGAGUUUUUUAAGCACACUGCAAUAUUUCAACUCACUUUCAAGUGGUAUCCAUGUAGGAUCUGCAAUUAGUCAGUUUACAGUCUCUGUUCGAGUAUGAGGGUAUCUAUUGUGUUCUUUUUUUUACUUGUCUGUUGCUUGUGAUUUGUGAAAGUUGAAACAGCUAUCAUCCAUUAUCAUUAUGCACAUUGCAUGUUUGUGGGAUUUGAUAUUGUUUCUAACUUGCGAAGAUUAUAUUCUAUGGAGUAGCUCUUGGAAACUAACAAACUUCUCAUGAUAUUUAAAUCUGAGAAUUUCCUUAUUCCAGGUUGCAUCAAUUAAUAGCUCUACAGGAUUUAAAUUAGUCUGUUCCUUUUGAAGUUAUUAUAUAUAUAUAAUGUAUAAAACAUGAGCGAAGUAAUAUCAACGAUUACAAGGGCAAUCCUGCAUACUAAAUGGAGGUCUCCUUAUCACUUGACAAGAUAUGCAUGAAGAAAUUAUUCAUAAUAUAGCACAUGCUUGUGUAGUAAGGCAAAAUUCUUGCAUAUGGCAAUCCAAGGCUAGACCAAAAUUAGUUCAUAUGUUUAUUGGAGUGUCAUUGGAUUGUAGGUUAGAUUCUUGUGUUAUGUGGGAGGUACUCUGCUUGAUAAGACAUUUGGAGCCUUCAUCUUGCAAACAGUUAUGAAGUUGUAAUCAGGCACAACUUGUAUUGUUGGAAAUGACUUUGCCAGUUUGCCUUUCAUUGUUUGUGAUAUUGUUCUUGUCGAUUCUUGCUUAAUGUAAAUUUCAAAUUAGCAAAAGCCUCAAUUGAAGACAAUCUAUGAUCGGGAAUAUUGGCACUAUGUGCGGGUGAUAACUGUCUUCGGCUUUUUUUUUCGCAAGUAUUUUUACAUAUAGUUACACAAUGAGAUCAUAUAGUUUUUCUUGGUGAAUUGAUGAGGAAAAGAAAAUUUAGAAGAAAUCUGCAACCUAAGAACCAUCUAGGAUUUCCAGUUCCCUCACCUAUCACCAGGUGUCAGUUCAUGCACAUCUGAUCAACUUUCUGUUUCUCAUUAUCUCAUUGCAUUUGAUUAUCUGAUGUAUGCUUUGAUGUUUUGCAAUAGUCAGCUUUGCUCCCUGGCUUUAACUCUUAUCGGAGAAAUUUUGCUUUAGGGAAUGUCAUUUUGUGUUCAUUGAUUACUAUGUUUCGUCUUUGGCAUAUCAGUCUCAGUUAUGUCGUCAGGUCUUUUUUUUUCUCCUUUUUUUUUUGUAUAAUGCUUUUUCUCCAUAGAAAGAAUUCAAAGAAAUAUUUUGGCUCUCAGUUGUGUAUUGCCUUUCUUAUAGUCAUUACAGUUAAUUGUGUUUCUAUGAAAUUGGAGAAAAGCUAUCUAUAUAUCUAUUAUCUUUGCAGGUUCCUUGUGGAUUUAUACCAGGUGGACUGCAUUGAAAAUUUCUACAUUUACAACAAUCAUGCCCAUUUGGUUCAAUGAAUGAUAUCAGGCUUUUCAGUGGCUGCAGAUGAGUUCGUAAGUGAGAUAUGGUUGAUGGUGCUUACUAUGUGUGUUCAAGUCAGAGGCUUGCUGAGAUCAAGCCUUAAUGGCAUGUAACAUGUAAGAAUGGCCUCAAGAAUUCAGGACACAGGAUGGAGAAGAAAGGCCAGUGUCCCAAGGAGUGUUGGUGGAGCAUGCUAGAUCUAGAUAAGAACAUUAAUAUGAGAAAAGGAACACCUAGGUUGUGAAUGGCAUAGAUUUCACAUUUACUUUGUAUUGCCGUUUGGGGGAAUCUCUCCCAGUGAAUGUUUUAUGAUUUUAAUUUGUUAUUAUACCUUGGGUUUCUUUUCUGA